rnacentral:rRNA from 1 species
AGAAUGAACGCUGGCGGCGUGGUUAAGACAUGCAAGUCGAACGGUGUUUCAAGUGUAGCAAUACAUUUGAAACGCAGUGGCGAACGGGUGCGUAACACGUGAACAAUCUACCAUUUAGUGUGGAAUAGCUCGACGAAAGUCGGAUUAAUACCGCAUGUGGUUGGCCCUCUCCUGAGGGCCAUACUAAAGUCAGGGACCGCAAGGCCUGACGCUAUUUGAGGAGUUCGCGGCCUAUCAGCUAGUUGGCGAGGUAGCGGCUCACCAAGGCUAAGACGGGUAGCU